rnacentral:rRNA from 1 species
UACGUAGGUGGCAAGCGUUGUCCGGAAUUAUUGGGCGUAAAGCGCGCGCAGGCGGUCCCUUAAGUCUGAUGUGAAAGCCCACGGCUCAACCGUGGAGGGUCAUUGGAAACUGGGGGACUUGAGUGCAGAAGAGGAAAGUGGAAUUCCAUGUGUAGCGGUGAAAUGCGUAGAGAUGUGGAGGAACACCAGUGGCGAAGGCGACUUUCUGGCCUGUAACUGACGCUGAGGCGCGAAAGCGUGGGGAGCAAACAGG